rnacentral:rRNA from 1 species
GACGAACGCUGGCGGCGUGCUUAACACAUGCAAGUCGAGCGGUAAGGCCCUUUCGGGGGUACACGAGCGGCGAACGGGUGAGUAACACGUGGGUGACCUGCCCUCAGCUCUGGGAUAAGCCUGGGAAACCGGGUCUAAAUACUGGAUAUGACUCCAUGACGCAUGUUGUGGGGUGGAAAGCCUUGUGCGGCUGAGGAUGGGCCCGCGGCCUAUCAGCUUGUUGGUGGGGUGANGGCCUACCAAGGCGACGACGGGUAGCCGGCCUGAGAGGGCGACCGGCCACACUGGGACUGAGACACGGCCCAG